rnacentral:tRNA from 1 species
GAGAGUCUAGCUCAGUGGUAGAGCACAUGCUUAGCAUGCACGAGGUCCUGGGUUCAACCCCAGUACCUCCA